CUGGCUAAGUUCGUGCCAGCAGCCGCGGUAAGACGAACUGUGCAAACGUUAUUCGGAAUCACUGGGCUUGAAGAGUGCGUAGGCGGUUUCGUAAGUAGGGUGUGAAAGCCCUCGGCUCAACCGGGGAAUUGCGUCCUAAACUGCGAGGCUAGAGUGAGGUAGGGGGUGUGUGGAACUUCCAGUGGAGCGGUGAAAUGUGUUGAUAUUGGAAGGAACGCCGGUGGCGAAAGCGACACACUGGACCUUGUCUGACGCUGAGGCACGAAAGCCAGGGGAGCAAACGGGAUUAGAUACCCCGGUAGUCCUGGCCGUAAACGAUGAGUACUAGUGGGGAGGAUCGCAAGGUCUUCCUCACGGAGCGAAAGUUUUAAGUACUCCGCCUGGGGAGUAUGGUCGCAAGGCU
rnacentral:rRNA from 1 species